rnacentral:lncRNA from 1 species
CAAGCAGUCUAUUCCGAACUUCUACUGCAAGUGGUCUACUCCGAACUUCUACUGUAAGCAGUUUACUCUGGAUCUCUACUGUAAGCGAAUUUCAUCCGAGUUUCUACUGUAAACGAAUUCCUUCCGAACUUCUAUUACAGGUGGACUUUAGCCGAGCUUCUUCAAUAAGCGGUCCCUAUCUGAACUUCUACAAGAAUCAGACUCUGUCUGAAUUUUCAUAGCGGAUGGAUUCUGGACAAAUUUCUACAACGGAUGGGCUUCAGCAGUUAGAUUUCUACAACGGCCGACCGCCUCCAGUGUCUGUCGUACCUCCCCAGCCAUCAACCUUCAAUAGCGUCAGUCGGAC